UGGGGAAUAUUGGACAAUGGGGGCAACCCUGAUCCAGCGAUGCCGCGUGGGUGAAGAAGGCCUUCGGGUUGUAAAGCCCUUUAGGUUGGGACGAAGGGUGUUGAGUUAAUACCUCAGCACUUUGACGGUACCGACAGAAUAAGCACCGGCAAACUCUGUGCCAGCAGCCGCGGUAAUACAGAGGGUGCGAGCGUUAAUCGGAAUUACUGGGCGUAAAGGGCGCGUAGGCGGUCGAGUGAGUGUGAUGUGAAAGCCCUGGGCUUAACCUAGGAAGUGCAUCGCAAACGACUCGACUGGAGUAUAAGAGAGGGUGGCGGAAUUUCCGGUGUAGCGGUGAAAUGCGUAGAGAUCGGAAGGAACGUCAAUGGCGAAGGCAGCCACCUGGCUUAAUACUGACGCUGAGGCGCGAAAGCGUGGGGAUCGAACAGG
rnacentral:rRNA from 1 species